rnacentral:rRNA from 1 species
UAGAGUUUUGAUCCUGGCUCAGGACGAACGCUGGCGGCGUGCUUAACACAUGCAAGUCGAGCGGUAAGGCCCUUCGGGGUACACGAGCGGCGAACGGGUGAGUAACACGUGGGUGACCUGCCCUCCACUUCGGGAUAAGCCUGGGAAACUGGGUCUAAUACCGGAUAGGACCCAGAGAUGCAUGUUUCUUGGUGGAAAGUUUUUUCGGUGGGGGAUGGGCCCGCGGUCUAUCAGCUUGUUGGUGGGGUGAUGGCCUACCAAGGCGACGACGGAUAGCCGGCCUGAGAGGGUGAUCGGCCACACUGGGACUGAGACACGGCCCAGACUCCUACGGGAGGCAGCAGUGGGGAAUCUUGCGCAAUGGGCGGAAGCCUGACGCAGCAACGCCGCGUGAAGGGAUGACGGCCUUCGGGUUGUAAACCUCUUU